rnacentral:sRNA from 1 species
UCACUUUUCACAGAAGGAUUGAAGAGUCUGACAGAAUUAUUUGUCAAAGAGAAUCACGAAUUAAGAAUAGCAGGAGGAGCAGUGAGGGAUUUAUUAAAUGGAGUAAAGCCUCAGGAUAUAGAUUUUGCCAGCACUGCUACCCCUACUCAAAUGAAGGAGAUGUUUCAGUCGGCUGGGAUUCGGAUGAUAAACAACAGAGGAGAAAAGCACGGAACAAUUACUGCCAGGCUUCAUGAAGAAAAUUUUGAGAUUACUACACUACGGAUUGAUGUCACCACUGAUGGAAGACAUGCUGAGGUAGAAUUUACAACUGACUGGCAGAAAGAUGCGGAACGCAGAGAUCUCACUAUAAAUUCUAUGUUUUUAGGUAAUAUUUGCAGAUAAAACCAUAUUGUGAGUCUAUCAGAAUGCCUUCUUUUCAAGUAAAACCUAUAUUCUGGAAAUGUU